UAAAGAUUCAUACGUUUAUGUAAUGCAUAACUCCCGCAGGUUGAGCUGAGUCCAGUCCACUCAUUCCUUACCCUGGAGGAUUCCACCCAGCCCUCCCCACGCAUCCCUCCAGACCUCCAGGAGGAGCAGAGAGGUGUCAUGAACAAAACCAGCCCAACAUCGUUUGAAAGGAGGUCUGUCAUCUCUGUGACAAUGAGCCAAUCCUCUCACAUAUCUGUGAGCAACAUGGCCCUGAUGUGCACUGAGCUAGAGGCCCCAAUACUAAACCGCUGGUGAAGGAUCAGAGCAGCUCAGAGGAAGAAGAGGAGGACAUAGUCACAGAGAACGGGAGAAGAAAGAGAAGUUACCAGAGAGGCCUAAAUAAAAGGGCCAAGGAAACAACAAUAUCCACUGAGGAAGUGGAGACACUGUCAUCUUGUACAAGGUCCAGCUGCAGGCAUGCCAGUGUGGAGGCAGACAUAGACCUGACCCAGCCUGCUCAGCAGGUGGGCUUUAUCUGCCAUCAGUUCAGCUCAGAGCUUAAGAGGAAGAUCAAGAAUCGAUGCAGGACAAUGGAUCUUUACACCAGGCAGACUUUGAAGACCUUAGGGCAGCACAUGUCAUCUGUCAGCGUCCAAGUGCACCAGUACAGGUCAGACAUGACCCUUGACCCUAAAGAGGUCAGAGUUUCUGCCCGGUAACAC
rnacentral:lncRNA from 1 species